GUUAUAGGGUCAAGCAAUGAAGCGCACACGGUGGAUGCCUAGGCAGCCAGAGGCGAUGAAAGACGUGGUAGCCUGCGAUAAGGUUCGGUGAGGUGGCAAACGACCUGUGACCCGGACAUCUCUGAAUGGGGAAACCCACUCAUCACAAGAUGAGUAUCUUGCGCUGAAUCCAUAGGCGUAAGAGGCGAACCAGGGGAACUGAAACAUCUAAGUACCCUGAGGAAAAGAAAUCAACCGAGAUUCCCCUAGUAGCGGCGAGCGAACGGGGACCAGCCCUUAAGCAUGUGACUGAUUAGGCGA
rnacentral:rRNA from 1 species